UGUGCUGUUGUGCCAGGGACCUCAGAAGCCAUUUCAGUAUCUGAGAGCAGGGGUGGCAGGUAAGUCAGGCUCCAGAGAGGAAAGAAAAGCUUGGACUUCCAGCUUAAUUCAGAGUGAGUAGGAAACCUAGACAAAAUCCUGAGAAGUGCCUUAGCAGAACACCCAUCACAGUAAACACUGCUUGAUCAACUGUUCCUGACUGCUGCCACCUCCUCAUCUUAUGUUGCUAACACCUGUCAGCUCAGCCAAAAUCUGUCAGCAGAGGUCCAAGUGCACUUCCUGACUUGCCAGCCCACCCAAAACAUCCUAGCCAUCCCAGCUGGCUUUCCUCAACUUUCACACAGUGCUUACUGGAUCAGGAUUAGAGCUGCCAAACUAUGCCAAAGGCUGCAGUUGAGUUUCUAUUAUAAGUCUGCUUUCUGGCUUCUCCCCCAGACUGUGAAAGGCUUCACAUAAGGAGGCAAAAUCCAUAGCAACAAGGAAUGGCUGCUGCAGGUCAUUACUGUAAAGAAUCAAGCAGGCAGACAGGUCCCAAAGCUGCACACAGAGGCCAGCUCGUCACCUGUGCUGGCACCAUCGUGUCUCUCAGUCAGGCCACAUCUGCAACGCAUGAUGGAGCCGAAACACCUUGCAGCUGGCAGUAGUGAUAAUAAGGCUAAUAAAUAGACUGGUUGCUUGUGAAAUGAUCAUUUGUUCCAAAACAGUCCUUAUUAAUAGCCCACGGAUGGCAGUGGCCAUCUGGGGCCUCAGCUAUGCAAACUGCUACAAGAAUUUGCUCUGCAACUGAUGGGGAGCCACAACUGCUGCUGGCUUAGUCCUGGGUGAAGUGCGUGUGAAAAUGGGGAAAUGCUUCUUUGGAGAAAUCUAUUUCCAGUCAAAAUAUGUUUCCGUUAAUAUUUCAUAACACAGUUACAAAAUAUGCAGACAGAACAUUGACCCCUAGAGUACAAUAUGGCUGACUUCAUGAGACUUACUCCCUUCACAAACUUGGCCUGCUUUAUUUCUUAAUGACAUUUUUGAGCUAAUUAAAACCCUCUCAUGCAGAUAGCUUGCUUCCCAAGCAAGAAGGAAAAUAAAAAGGAAAGAAAAUUCCUUGAACCCUCCCCCGAAGGUCAAGCUAUGCCACAAGCUGUGAUGAAUGUGUCCAUUUAUCACCUCGGGCGUGAGGCUAUCCAGAGCUCUGACAUUUCCCUGGUAGAAGUCAAUAGCAAGUCCUCAGUUUGUAGCAUGGUGUGAAAUUUGCUUGCUUUUCCUUUUUCCUUCUCCCAUUUCUG